GAUGGAGAACGUAGCGAAAUGCGAUAAGUAAUGUGAAUUGCAGAAUUCAGUGAAUCAUCGAAUCUUUGAACGCACCUUGCGCCCUUUGGCUAUUCUGAAGGGCAUGCCUGUUUGAGUAUCGUGAACACCUCAACUCUCAUGGUCUGCCAUGAUGAGCUUGGACUUUGGGGGUCUUGCUGGCCUACUGUCAGCUCCUCUCAAAUGAAUCAGCUUACCAGUGUUUGGUGGCACCACAGGUGUGAUAACUAUCUACGCUUGUGGUUUUCUGCCAGGUAACCUCUAGUGAUGGAGGUUCGCUGGAGCUCACAAAUGUCUCUCCUCAGCGAGGACAGCUUUUUGAACGUUUGAUCUCAAAUCAGGUAGGACUACCCGCUGAACUUAAGCAUAUCAAUAAGCGGAGGA
rnacentral:misc_RNA from 1 species